rnacentral:rRNA from 1 species
CCCUACGGGCGCAGCAGUGGGGGAUAUUGGACAAUGGGGGAAACCCUGAUCCAGCGAUGCCGCGUGAGGGAAGAAGGUUUUCGGAUUGUAAACCUCUGUGGAGGGGGACGAUAAUGACGGUACCCCUUUAGGAAGCCACGGCUAACUACGUGCCAGCAGCCGCGGUAAUACGUAGGGGGCAAGCGUUAUCCGGAUUUACUGGGUGUAAAGGGAGCGUAGACGGCUGAGCAAGUCUGAAGUGAAAGGCGGGGGCCCAACCCCCGGACUGCUUUGGAAACUGUAUAGCUAGAGUGCAGGAGAGGUAA